UACGGGGGGAGCAAGCGUUGUUCGGAUUUACUGGGCGUAAAGGGCGCGUAGGCGGCGUAACAAGUCACUUGUGAAAUCUCCGGGCUUAACCCGGAGCGGCCAAGUGAUACUGUUGUGCUAGAGUGCGGAAGGGGCUACUGGAAUUCUCGGUGUAGCGGUGAAAUGCGUAGAUAUCGAGAGGAACACCUGCGGCGAAGGCGGGUAGCUGGGCCGACACUGACGCUGAUGCGCGAAAGCGUGGGGAGCAAACGGG
rnacentral:rRNA from 1 species